UUUCCGUAGGUGAACCUGCGGAAGGAUCAUUACAGAGUUCAUGCCCUCACGGGUAGAUCUCCCACCCUUGAAUAUUUAUACCUUAGUUGCUUUGGCAGGCCGUGGAAACACCAUGGGCUCCGGCUUAUGCGUGCCUGCCAGAGGAAACAAACUCUGUUUUUAGUGAUGUCUGAGUACUAUAUAAUAGUUAAAACUUUCAAUAACGGAUCUCUUGGUUCUG
rnacentral:misc_RNA from 1 species